GGCGUCUCGGCCCAGCUCCCUUGAGAGGCAGGUUCUGGCUCUCGGUGCGGUAGCGCCAUCUGGCGCCGAGUGUUCCCUGGCCUGCGGAGGGGCGCGCUUCCUCCCUUCAGAACAUUCCAGAGACACGGCGGCGGCCGGGGCUCUGUCUCCCUUUUUCUGCAUCCUGCUUGUGCAUCAGAUGUGAGCUCUCAUCUACUGCUCUGGUGUCACACCUGCCUGCCUGCCACCAUGCUGCCUGCCAUGAUGAUCAUGGACUCACCCUCUGAAACUGUAAUAGCUAUCUUUAAAAGAUUCUGUCCUGGGGAUUGGAGAGAUGGCUCAGCAAUUGCAGAAGACCAGGGUUUGAUUCCCAGCACUACAUGGUGGCUCACAACCAUCUGUAAUUCUGAUUUCAGGAGGAUAUGGUAUCUUCUUCUGGCCUCUGUGGGCACUGAACACGUGGUUAUAAAAAUACAGGCAGGGUCUCCCUGUAAGAAAAGCAUUUUGUGCCAGGGUGAAGUGGUUGUGUGAAGGAGGGCCUAUUAAGUGCUUAUGAAUUAAGUAGAGGAGAAAGCAAGGAUUCUGGGAAAUUUGAUAAACUCUGUCACAUCUUGACUGUGGGCUGCUCAGCCGCUGUCUUGCUAUCAGAAGAUGCCAGCAAUGGAAAAAGUCAGGAACGUUAUCUCAGGGACAAAACCAGCUGACAUAGGGUAAUCUUUGUUGUCACCCUAAGGAUCUUUGGCUUUCUAAUAAGAGUGAGGUUCAGCAUCAUGGGCGUCCUUAUCCAGCUUUGGAAUCACUCACGAGUUCAGGGUUUUGUUGCUGGUUUUUUUUUGUUUGUUUGUUUUAACUACCUUUUGAGUAAUUGUGACUAUCCUAGAGUUCUGAUCAAAAAGGAAUGGCUCUGUGUCAUAGCCUUGCAGAAUUCAAAACAAUAAAAUAUUACCUGC
rnacentral:lncRNA from 1 species